CUAGUACUCCCUCCAUCCGAAAAUACUUGUCAUCAAAAUGAAUAAAAGGGGAUGUAUCUAGACGUAUAUUAGUUCUAGAUACAUCUUUUUUUAUCUAUUUUAAUGACAAGUAUUUUCGGACGAAGGAAGUAGUUA
rnacentral:pre_miRNA from 1 species